AUGCUCCCUUCAGCAGCACAUACGCUAAAAUUGGAAUGAUACAGAGCUUAGCAUGGCCCCUGCACAAAGAUGACACACAAAUUCAUGAUGUAUUUCAUAUUUUU